UGUUUGAUGUUCUAACGUGGACCCGUGAUCCGGGUUGCGGACAGUGUCUGGUGGGUAGUUUGACUGGGGCGGUCUCCUCCUAAAGAGUAACGGAGGAGCACGAAGGUUGGCUAAUCCUGGUCGGACAUCAGGAGGUUAGUGCAAUGGCAUAAGCCAGCUUGACUGCGAGCGUGACGGCGCGAGCAGGUGCGAAAGCAGGUCAUAGUGAUCCGGUGGUUCUGAAUGGAAGGGCCAUCGCUCAACGGAUAAAAGGUACUCCGGGGAUAACAGGCUGAUACCGCCCAAGAGUUCAUAUCGACGGCGGUGUUUGGCACCUCGAUGUCGGCUCAUCACAUCCUGGGGCUGAAGUAGGUCCCAAGGGUAUGGCUGUUCGCCAUUUAAAGUGGUACGCGAGCUGGGUUUAGAACGUCGUGAGACAGUUCGGUCCCUAUCUGCCGUGGGCGCUGGAGAACUGAGGGGGGCUGCUCCUAGUACGAGAGGACCGGAGUGGACGCAUCACUGGUGUUCGGGUUGUCAUGCCAAUGGCACUGCCCGGUAGCUAAAUGCGGAAGAGAUAAGUGCUGAAAGCAUCUAAGCACGAAACUUGCCCCGAG
rnacentral:rRNA from 5 species